rnacentral:rRNA from 1 species
UUUUUGAAUUUUGUUUUAAUUUUAUUAAAAUCAUUUUAUUUGUUUUUGUAUAUGGUUUAGAUAUAAUUUUAUUAUUAUAGUGAAUUUUUACUGUAGAGGUUUUAUGUUUAAUUUAUAUAAGUUAAUUUUAAUUAUUGUACCUUGUGUAUCAGGGUUUAUUAAAUUUUAUUAUUUAUUUUUUAUUUCCCGAUUUUAAAGGAUUUAAUUAAUUAUUUUUAUUAUUGUUUUAUAAAUAUAAUAUUUAUUAUUAUUAUNNNNNNNNNNNNNNNNNNNNNNNNNNNNNNNNNNNNNNNNNNAUGAUAGUAAUAAUGAUGAAAUUAGUAAAUUAAUUUUUAUAGAGUUUUGUUUAUGUUUUAGAUUUUUAAAAGGAACUAGGCAAAAAUUAUAAUUCUCGCAUGUUUAUCAAAAACAUCUCUUCUUGUUUAUUUAUUAUUUGAAGUAGGACCUGCCCACUGAAGUUUAAUAAUUGAAGGGCCGCGGUAUUUUGACCGUGCAAAGGUAGCAUAAUCAUUAGUCUUUUAAUUGAGGACUGGAAUGAAUGGUUGGACGAGGAAUAAACUGUUUCUUGAAAAUUUAUUUGAAUUUAUGUUUUAAGUUAAAAUACUUAAAUUUUUUUGUGGGACGAGAAGACCCUAUAGAGUUUAAUUAAUAGGAAGAUUAUUUAGUUGGUUAAAUUUUAUUUAUUUUUUAUUAAUUUUGUUGGGGUGAUGGGAAGAAUUAAUAAACUCUUUUUAUUUAUUUAUAUUUAUAUAUAAAUUUUUGAUCCAUUUUUGUUGAUUAUAAGACUAAAUUACCUUAGGGAUAACAGCGUAAUCUUUUUUGAGAGUUCAUAUCGAGAAUAGGGUUUGCGACCUCGAUGUUGGAUUAAGAUUUAAUUUGGAUGUAGCAGUUCAAUAUUUUAGGUCUGUUCGACCUUUAAAAUCUUACAUGAUCUGAGUUCAAACCGGCGUGAGCCAGGUUGGUUUCUAUCUAUAAUUAAUUUUAUAUCUUAGUACGAGAGGACCAGAUAU